rnacentral:lncRNA from 1 species
GUUUGUUAAAAGCCCAUAUCCUUUGGAUGAUCUACAUGACCCGUCAUGUAGGAGUCCAUCAGUUCCUCUUCCUUCCCUCAUCUCACCUUUUCUACUGGAGUCCAUUCUCUAAGGCCACUCCCUCAGCACAUGCCUGGUUGCUUUGCUUCAAACAUGCCAGGUGUCUUCCCCAUGGCCUUUGAACUUUCUCUGUUACUUUUCCCUACACAUUAGUGGGCUACCUCUCUCAGUUACUUCAGGUGUCUGUUAAAGUGCUCUUACUGGCCAGGCGUGGUGUCUCACGCCUGUAAUCCCAGCACUUUGGGAGGCCAAGGCAGGUGGAUUACCUGAGGUCAGGAGUUCAAGACCAGCCUGACCAAUAUGAAACCGGGUGUUCACUAAAAAUACAAAAAACUUAGCCUAGUGUGGAGGCGUGCACCUGUAAUCCCAGCUACUUGGGAGGCCGAGACAGGAGAAUUGCUUGAACCUGGGAGGUGGAGGUUGCAGUGAGCUGAGAUCACACCAUUGCACUCCAGCCCUGGCAACAAGAGUGAAACUCCGUCUCAAAAAAAAAAAAAAGAGAAAGAAAAAAAGCUAUAAAUGAGGUUUUGUUUUAGCAACUUACACACAUUUUUAUAUACAUUUUUCUUUCUUAAGAUUUAUCUUCAUUUAUAUAUAUCAAAGUACUUGGCAUUGUAGAAAUUAUUUAUUUUUUUAUUUGUCAGAAGCUAGAAUCAAUACAGCCUAAUCCCAGAUUUCUAACAAUUGGUGAUGAUAUUUUUAAAUGACCUGGAUUUUGAAUUUCUGGUUGGCUCAAAAAAUGUUAAAUCCUGAGGCUUUGAUACUUUCUUGACUGCACCGUGCUUCUAAGAAGUUGAUGGUUUUCUUUAGCUCAAACCAAACCACUUCUUUCUGAUAUAGAACAAUAGAUUUCAGAAGGUUUAUGUUCAACUUUCAGUACACUAUUACAUUAAAAUUUUUCAAUUAGUGGCUCUUUCAAAAUUUAAGCCUGUCAUAAUGCCCUCCCAUUUUCUUUUUCAAUUCAUUUUCUUCAUUAUUACCUCUUGUCAAAACAUUUUAUUUAAAUUAUAAAUGGUUGAGAGAGGUGUUAUUUUGUCCAUGACUAGCCUUUUCAUUGUGUAUGCAUAUAUAUAGUUUCUUUCUCCUUCUUCCUUUAGCUUUUUCCUUGGAACGCAGCAUAUGUGUUUAUUAUUACAUUUAAUAAAUUAUGUUUUUAUUGGAUUUACUUUUAUGUUUAACUGUUUCUCCUGUCAGAUUGUGAAAUCCUAGAAUCUUAAGAACUUUUCUCACGUGUUUUGGUCUAUCCUUUGACAUCUUAUGCAUGAUAUGAGCCUUGUCGUUGUUUAAUUGAAUUGAAAAUAUGCCUAAAGAAACAAAAGUCACUUUUAACUUGCUUCACUUACACUUAGAGACCUGGGCUUAUAUUAAGUGUCCACUUUACGAAGAAUAGUAUUGAACUACAUUUUGUCUAGAGGAGCAUAUGCAUGGAGGUGAGUUGUUGUAACCCCCAUUAUCAUUGUAAUCAUUGAGGAACUAAAAAUAACAAACCUAGGUAAGAGAGUUUUUGAACAUCUGUGGAGAGGUGGGACCCAGUUAUUUUUGUAAAUUCACAAAAUUGUCUUUAGUGAAAUAGGAGGCCUCAGUCUGUGCUACUAAUAAGAAUGUAUCUGAUGAUGAGCAUUUUUUCAUGUGUUUUUUGGCUGCGUAAAUGUCUUCUUUUGAGAAGUGUCUGUUCAUAUCCUUCGCCCACUUUUUGAUGGGGUCGUUUGUUUUUUCUUGUAAAUUUGUUUGAGUUCAUUGUAGAUUCUGGAUAUUAGCCCUUUGUCAGAUGAGUAGGUUGCAAAAAUUUUCUCCCAUUCUGUAGGUUGCCUGUUCACUCUGACGGUGGUUUCUUUUGCUGUGCAGAAGCUCUUUAGUUUCAUUAGAUCCCAUUUGUCAAUUUUGGCUUUUGUUGCCAUUGCUUGGAAACCAUCAUUCUCAGCAAACUAUCGCAAGAACAAAAACCAAACACCGCAUGUUCUCACUCAUAGGUGGGAAUUGAACAAUGAGAACACAUGGACACAGGAAGG